UGGCUCAGAUUGAACGCUGGCGGCAGGCCUAACACAUGCAAGUCGAACGGUAGCACAGAGAGCUUGCUCUCGGGUGACGAGUGGCGGACGGGUGAGUAAUGUCUGGGAAACUGCCUGAUGGAGGGGGAUAACUACUGGAAACGGUAGCUAAUACCGCAUAACGUCGCAAGACCAAAGAGGGGGACCUUCGGGCCUCUUGCCAUCAGAUGUGCCCAGAUGGGAUUAGCUAGUAGGUGGGGUAACGGCUCACCUAGGCGACGAUCCCUAGCUGGUCUGAGAGGAUGACCAGCCACACUGGAACUGAGACACGGUCCAGACUCCUACGGGAGGCAGCAGUGGGGAAUAUUGCACAAUGGGCGCAAGCCUGAUGCAGCCAUGCCGCGUGUAUGAAGAAGGCCUUCGGGUUGUAAAGUACUUUCAGCGGGGAGGAAGGUGUUGUGGUUAAUAACCGCAGCAAUUGACGUUACCCGCAGAAGAAGCACCGGCUAACUCCGUGCCAGCAGCCGCGGUAAUACGGAGGGUGCAAGCGUUAAUCGGAAUUACUGGGCGUAAAGCGCACGCAGGCGGUCUGUCAAGUCGGAUGUGAAAUCCCCGGGCUCAACCUGGGAACUGCAUUCGAUACUGGCAGGCUAGAGUCUUGUAGAGGGGGGUAGAAUUCCAGGUGUAGCGGUGAAAUGCGUAGAGAUCUGGAGGAAUACCGAUGGCGAA
rnacentral:rRNA from 1 species